rnacentral:tRNA from 1 species
AGAAAGAUGCCUGACUAAAGGAUUAUUCUGAUAGAAUAAAAAAAGUAUAAAAAAUACUCUUUCUA